rnacentral:rRNA from 1 species
UCGAACGAUGACCGGGUUCGGCCGGUGAUUAGUGGCGAACGGGUGAGUAACACGUGGGCAAUCUGCCCUGCACUCUGGACAAGCCCUGGAAACGGGGUCUAAUACGGAUACCACGCUUUCCCGCAUGGGAUAAGCGUGGAAAGCUCCGGCGGUGCAGGAUGAGCCCGCGGCCUAUCAGCUUGUUGGUGGGGUGAUGGCCUACCAAGGCGACGACGAGUAGCCGGCCUGAGGGGCGACCGGCCACACUGGGACUGAGACACGGCCCAGACUCCUACGGGAGGCAGCAGUGGGGAAUAUUGCACAAUGGGCGAAAGCCUGAUGCAGCGACGCCGCGUGAGGGAUGACGGCCUUCGGGUUGUAAACCUCUUCAGCAGGGAAGAAGCGCAAGUGACGGUACCUGCAGAAGAAGCGCCGGCUAACUACGUGCCAGCAGCCGCGGUAAUACGUAGGGCGCAAGCGUUGUCCGGAAUUAUUGGGCGUAAAGAGCUCGUACGGGGCUUGUCGCGUCGGAUGUGAAAGCCCGGGGCUUAACCCCGGGUCUGCAUUCGAUACGGGCAGGCUAGAGUUCGGUAGGGGAGAUCGGAAUUCCUGGUGUAGCGGUGAAAUGCGCAGAUAUCAAGAGGAACACCGGUGGCGAAGGCGGAUCUCUGGGCCGAUACUGACGCUGAGGAGCGAAAGCGUGGGGAGCGAACAGAUUAGAUACCCUGGUAGUCCACGCCGUAAACGUUGGGAACUAGGUGUGGGCGACAUUCCACGUUGUCCGUGCCGCAGCUAACGCAUUAAGUUCCCCGCCUGGGGAGUACGGCCGCAAGGCUAAAACUCAAAGGAAUUGACGGGGCCCGCACAAGCGGCGGAGCAUGUGGCUUAAUUCGACGCAACGCGAAAAACCUUACCAAGGCUUGACAUACACCGGAAACCCUGGAGACAGGGUCCCCCUUGUGGUCGGUGUACAGGUGGUGCAUGGCUGUCGUCAGCUCGUGUCGUGAGAUGUUGGGUUAAGUCCCGCAACGAGCGCAACCCUUGUUCUGUGUUGCCAGCAUGCCUUUCGGGGUGAUGGGGACUCACAGGAGACUGCCGGGGUCAACUCGGAGGAAGGUGGGGACGACGUCAAGUCAUCAUGCCCCUUAUGUCUUGGGCUGCACACGUGCUACAAUGGCCGGUACAAUGAGCUGCGAAGCCGUAGGUGGAGCGAAUCUCAAAAGCCGGUCUCAGUUCGGAUUGGGGUCUGCAACUCGACCCCAUGAAGUCGGAGUCGCUAGUAAUCGCAGAUCAGCAUUGCUGCGGUGAAUACGUUCCCGGGCCUUGUACACACCGCCGUCACGUCACGAAAGUCGGUAACACCCGAAGCCGGUGGCCCAACCCUGUGAGGGAGCCGUCGAAGGUGGACUGGCGAUUGGGACGAGUCGU